AGCCUUCAAUAUCUGUGCUGAGAUUUCGUCACACACCAGACCACAUAGGUUGAUGAGACUCCCAAGAUAAGUGAAGCA
rnacentral:pre_miRNA from 1 species